CCUACGGGUGGCAGCAGUGGGGGAUAUUGCACAAUGGGGGGAACCCUGAUGCAGCGACGCCGCGUGGGUGAAGGAGCGUUUCGGCGCGUUAAGCCCUUUCGGCAGGGAAGAAGAUGACGGUACCUGACCAAGAAUCCCCGGCUAACUACGUGCCAGCAGCCGCGGUCAUACGCAGGGGGCAAGCGUAAUCCGGAUUUACUGGGUGUAAAGGGGGCGCAGACGGCAAAGCAAGUCAGGAGUGAAAGCCCCGGGCCCAACCCCGGGACUGCUCUUGAAACUGCAUGGCUAGAGUACAGGAGGGGCAGGCGGAAUGCCUGGUGUAGCGGUGAAAUGCAUAGAUAUCACGCAGAACUCCGAUUGCGAAGGCAGCAUACCGGCGCCCAACUGACGCUGAGGCACGAAAGCGUGGGUAUCGAACAGGAUUAGAUACCCGUGUAGUC
rnacentral:rRNA from 1 species